rnacentral:lncRNA from 1 species
UGCAUGAGUUAGGAAUGUUCAUUCCCUAAGUGAAUUUCACAUCAAAAUGUGGUUUUGAUGGGCACGAAGAAAGAAGAAGGCGCAAGUCACUCGAAGUCACAAGCAUCUCAAGAUCACGGUAAAUUCCAUGUAUAAUUACGGCGCUCUCGGACCGAACACACACACAAUGUCGACUUUUAUGCGCUUCCGGUUUAAGUUGCUUAUUUUAAAUGAGUCAAAUUACCAUUUUGAGUAGUA